rnacentral:rRNA from 1 species
AGUGAACGCUGGCGGUAGGCCUAACACAUGCAAGUCGAACGGCAGCACAGUAAGAGCUUGCUCUUACGGGUGGCGAGUGGCGGACGGGUGAGGAAUACAUCGGAAUCUACUUUUUCGUGGGGGAUAACGUAGGGAAACUUACGCUAAUACCGCAUACGACCUACGGGUGAAAGCAGGGGAUCUUCGGACCUUGCGCGAUUGAAUGAGCCGAUGUCGGAUUAGCUAGUUGGCGGGGUAAAGGCCCACCAAGGCGACGACCCGUAGCUGGUCUGAGAGGAUGAUCAGCCACACUGGAACUGAGACACGGUCCAGACUCCGACGGGAGGCAGCAGUGGGGAAUAUCGGACAAUGGGCGCAAGCCUGAUCCAGCCAUACCGCGUGGGUGAAGAAGGCCUUCGGGUUGUAAAGCCCUUUUGUUGGGAAAGAAAAGCAGCAGGUUAAUACCCCGCUGUUCUGACGGUACCCAAAGAAUAAGCACCGGCGAACUUCGU